rnacentral:misc_RNA from 1 species
AAGUCGUAACAAGGUUUCCGUAGGUGAACCUGCGGAAGGAUCAUUACAAAUCUCGCGUUGGUCCGCUGGUCUGGUCUAGGCUGGCUGGCUGGCUAGUCUGGCUAGUUUAGCUGGUCUGGCUAGUUUAGCUAGUCUGGCUAGUUUAGCUAGUCUGGCUAGUUUAGCUAGUCUAGGCUGGGCUGGUGCGACUGACACAUUGGCUCAAGGCCGCAAGGUCUUGAUGUUUACGCUUGCAUGUUUGACAGAGUUAAAUGGUGACCUUGAAAAUGACAACUUUUAACAACGGAUCUCUUGGCUCUU